AGAGCGAACGCUGGCGGCAGGCUUAACACAUGCAAGUCGAGCGCCGUAGCAAUACGGAGCGGCAGACGGGUGAGUAACACGUGGGAACGUACCUCUUGGUUCGGAACAACACAGGGAAACUUGUGCUAAUACCGGAUAAGCCCUUACGGGGAAUGAUUUAUCGCCGAGAGAUCGGCCCGCGUCUGAUUAGCUAGUUGGUGAGGUAACGGCUCACCAAGGCGACGAUCAGUAGCUGGUCUGAGAGGAUGAUCAGCCACACGUGGGACUGAGACACGGCCCAGACCUCCGUACGGG
rnacentral:rRNA from 1 species